rnacentral:rRNA from 1 species
CCUACGGGUGGCAGCAGUGGGGGAUAUUGCACAAUGGGGGAAACCCUGAUGCAGCGACGCCGCGUGUGUGAAGACGGUCCUCUGGAUUGUAAACCACUGUCCCCAGGGACGACGAUGACGGUACCUGGGGAGGAAGCUCCGGCAAACUACGUGCCAGCAGCAGCGGAAAUACGUGGGGAGCGAGCGUUGUCAGGAAUUACUGGGGGAAAAGGGAGCGUAGGCGGGACUGCAAGUUGGGGGUAAAAUCUACCGGCUCAACCGGUAGCCGCACUCAAAACUGCAGUUCUUGAGUGAAGUAGAGGCAGGCGGAAUUCCAAGUGUAGCGGUGAAAUGCGUAGAUAUUAGGAGGAACACCAGUGGCGAAGGCGGCCUGCUGGGCUUUUACUGACGCUGAGGCUCGAAAGUGUGGGGAGCAAACAGGAUUAGAUACCCCAGUAGUC